GACGAACCGAGCGAACGUUGUUCGGAAUCACUGGGCUUAAAGGGCGCGUAGGCGGGCUGUCAAGUCUGGGGGUGAAAUCCCGCGGCUCAACCGUGGAACUGCCUCAGAUACUGACGGUCUCGAGGGAGGUAGGGGCGAGCGGAACUGAUGGUGGAGCGGUGAAAUGCGUUGAUAUCAUCAGGAACUCCGGUGGCGAAGGCGGCUCGCUGGACCUUUUUCUGACGCUGAGGCGCGAAAGCUAGGGGAGCAAACGGG
rnacentral:rRNA from 1 species